rnacentral:rRNA from 1 species
AUUGGAACCACCUGAUCCCAUCCCGAACUCAGAAGUGAAACGAUGCAUCGCCGAUGGUAGUGUGGGGCUUCCCCAUGUGAGAGUAGGUCAUCGUCAAGC